UACGGGGGGAGCAAGCGUUGUUCGGAUUUACUGGGCGUAAAGGGCGCGUAGGCGGCCACCGCAAGUCGACUGUGAAAUCUCCGGGCUUAACCCGGAAAGGUCAGCCGAUACUGCGGGGCUAGAGUGCAGAAGGGGCAACUGGAAUUCUCGGUGUAGCGGUGAAAUUCGUAGAUAUCGGGAGGAACACCAGCGGCGCAGGCGGCGCUCUGGACGCACACUGACGCUGAGACACGAAAGCGUGGGGAGCAAACAG
rnacentral:rRNA from 1 species